rnacentral:rRNA from 2 species
UACAGAGGGUGCAAGCGUUGUUCGGAAUUAUUGGGCGUAAAGCGCGUGUAGGCGGCUUUGCAAGUCGGGUGUGAAAGCCCUCGGCUCAACCGAGGAAGUGCGCCCGAAACUGCAGAGCUUGAGUACCGGAGAGGAUGGCGGAAUUCCCCAAGUAGAGGUGAAAUUCGUAGAUAUGGGGAGGAACACCGGUGGCGAAGGCGGCCAUCUGGACGGAUACUGACGCUGAGACGCGAAAGCGUGGGUAGCAAACAGG